rnacentral:rRNA from 1 species
UACGUAGGGUGCGAGCGUUGUCCGGAAUUACUGGGCGUAAAGAGCUCGUAGGUGGUUUGUCGCGUUGUUCGUGAAAACCGGGGGCUUAACUCUCGGCGUGCGGGCGAUACGGGCAGACUGGAGUACUGCAGGGGAGACUGGAAUUCCUGGUGUAGCGGUGAAAUGCGUAGAUAUCAGGAGGAACACCGGUGGCGAAGGCGGCUAUCUGGACAGAAACUGACGCUGAGGCGCGAAAGCUAGGGGAGCAAACAGG